rnacentral:tRNA from 2 species
GCCCUGGUGGUGUAAAGGCUAGCACGAAGGACUGUGGAUCCUUAAGUUCGGGUUCGAUUCCCGGCCAAGGCC